UUGUUUGCUAGCGGUGAUGCUAAAGCUCACUAGUAGACUUGUUAGUUGUGGAUCCUGAAUCACUAAGUAUCGAUAGAGGGAUGUUGAUUUUAGUGGGAGUAGAUUCUGUUAAAAGUUUAAUGUGAUUUACUCUAUCAUGGAUACUUUCUUCUUAGUAUUUUGCAUUAUAAUUUGUUGUAGAUAAAUGACACCUAGCAACACCACAUGGUUUGCUUUGCGUUCAGUCCUUGAGAAGGACAAGCUGAAUGGGAUAAACUAUACAGAUUGGAUCCGUAACCUGAGAAUUGUUCUCAGGGCUAAGAAAAAGAAAGAUGUUCUAA
rnacentral:lncRNA from 1 species